rnacentral:rRNA from 1 species
GACGAACGCUGGCGGCGUGCCUAAUGCAUGCAAGUCGCACGCGGCACCUUCGGGUGCUGAGUGGCGAACGGCUGAGGAACACGUGGGGACCUGUCCGGGAGUGGGGGACAACACCGCGAAAGCGGUGCUAAUCCCGCAUACGCUCUGAGGAGGAAAGCCGAAAGGCGCUCCCGGGUGGCCCUGCGGCCCAUCAGGUUGUUGGUGGGGUAACGGCCUACCAAGCCAAUGACGGGUCGCUGGUCUGUGAGGACGACCAGCCAGACUGGGACUGGGACACGGCCAAGACCCCUGGGGGAGGAAGAACAAAGGAAUUUGCGGAAAGGGGCGCAAGCCGGACCGGGCAACGCCGCGUGAGGAAAGCCGCCUUGGGGGUUUAAACCUUCUUUUGCGAGGGAUGAAACCGGACAGUACCGGGAAAACAAGCCCCGGAAAACUCUGUG